rnacentral:rRNA from 1 species
CUUAGCGGCGGACGGGUGGGUAACGCGUGGACAACCUGCCCUAUGCAGGGGGAUAACAUCCGGAAACGGGUGCUAAUACCGCAUAAGCGCACAGUACCGCAUGGUACAGUGUGAAAAGCUGAGGCGGCAUAGGAUGGGUCCGCGUUGGAUUAGGCAGUUGGCGGGGUAACGGCCCACCAAACCGACGAUCCAUAGCCGGCCUGAGAGGGUGGACGGCCACAUUGGGACUGAGACACGGCCCAGACUCCUACGGAAGGCAGCAG